rnacentral:rRNA from 1 species
UGGGGAAUUUUGGACAAUGGGGGAAACCCUGAUCCAGCCAUCCCGCGUGUGCGAUGAAGGCCUUCGGGUUGUAAAGCACUUUUGGCAGGAAAGAAACGUCAUGGGUUAAUACCCCGUGAAACUGACGGUACCUGCAGAAUAAGCACCGGCUAACUACGUGCCAGCAGCCGCGGUAAUACGUAGGGUGCAAGCGUUAAUCGGAAGUACUGGGCGUAAAGCGUGCGCAGGCGGUUCGGAAAGAAAGAUGUGAAAUCCCAGAGCUCAACUUUGGAACUGCAUUUUUAACUACCGGGCUAGAGUGUGUCAGAGGGAGGUGGAAUUCCGCGUGUAGCAGUGAAAUGCGUAGAGAUGCGGAGGAACACCGAGGGCGAAGGCAGCCUCCUGGGAUAACACUGACGCUCAUGCACGAAAGCGUGGGGAGCAAACAGG